GCUCCAGACUCCUACGGGAGGCAGCAGUGGGGAAUAUUGCACAAUGGGGGGAACCCUGAUGCAGCGACGCCGCGUGGGUGAAGGAGUACUUCGGUACGUAAAGCCCUAUCAGCAGGAAAGAAAAUGACGGUACCUGACUAAGAAGCCCCGGCUAACUACGUGCCAGCAGCCGCGGUAGUACGUAGGGGGCAAGCGUUAUCCGGAUUUAUUGGGUUUAAAGGGUGCGCAGGCGGAGGCACAAGUCAGCGGUAAAAUCGGGGGGCCAACCCCCGCUCCGCCGUUGAAACUGUGUCCCUUGAGUGCGCGAAGGGUAGGCGGAAUGCGUGGUGUAGCGGUGAAAUGCAUAGAUAUCACGCAGAACUCCGAUCGCGAAGGCAGCCUACCGGCGCGCAACUGACGCUCAUGCACGAAAGCGUGGGUAUCGAACAGGAUUAGAUACCCCAGUA
rnacentral:rRNA from 1 species